rnacentral:misc_RNA from 1 species
GAAUUCAACGUAUAAACGAGACACAUGCAUAUAUUUUGUUAUGUGUAGACAGAUGGUUACCACCAACGAUCCAGUGUAACUAGUGCACGUGAUGAGUACAAUGGAACAGAACCCGGCUUA